GACAGAGGGUGCGAGCGUUAAUCGGAAUGACUGGGCGUAAAGGGCGAGUAGGCGGUAAUGGAAGUUGGAUGUGAAAUACAUAGGCUUAACCUAUGGGCGAGAUCCAAGACUACAAUACUAGGAGGACAGUAGAGGGGAGCGGAAUUUCCAGUGUAGCGGUGAAAUGCGUAGAGAUUGGAAAGAACACCGGUGGCGAAGGCGGCUCUCUGGACUGGAACUGACGCUGAGGAGCGAGAGCAUGGGGA
rnacentral:rRNA from 1 species